AGAGUUUGAUCAUGGCUCAGAUUGAACGCUGGCGGCAUGCCUUACACAUGCAAGUCGAACGGCAGCACGGGAGCAAUCCUGGUGGCGAGUGGCGAACGGGUGAGUAAUACAUCGGAACAUGUCCAGUAGUGGGGGAUAGCCCGGCGAAAGCCGGAUUAAUACCGCAUACGAUCUGUGGAUGAAAGCGGGGGGAUCGCAAGACCUCGCGCUAUUGGGGUGGCCGAUGGCGGAUUAGCUGGUUGGUGGGGUAAAGGCCUACCAAGGCGACGAUCCGUAGCUGGUCUGAGAGGACGACCAGCCACACUGGGACUGAGACACGGCCCAGACUCCUACGGGAGGCAGCAGUGGGGAAUUUUGGACAAUGGGGGCAACCCUGAUCCAGCAAUGCCGCGUGUGUGAAGAAGGCCUUCGGGUUGUAAAGCACUUUUGUCCGGGAAGAAAUCCUCUGCCCUAAUACGGCGGGGGGAUGACGGUACCGGAAGAAUAAGCACCGGCUAACUACGUGCCAGCAGCCGCGGUAAUACGUAGGGUGCGAGCGUUAAUCGGAAUUACUGGGCGUAAAGCGUGCGCAGGCGGUGAUGUAAGACCGAUGUGAAAUCCCCGGGCUCAACCUGGGAACUGCAUUGGUGACUGCAUCGCUGGAGUAUGGCAGAGGGGGGUGGAAUUCCACGUGUAGCAGUGAAAUGCGUAGAGAUGUGGAGGAACACCGAUGGCGAAGGCAGCCCCCUGGGCCAAUACUGACGCUCAUGCACGAAAGCGUGGGGAGCAAACAGGAUUAGAUACCCCCGUAGUCC
rnacentral:rRNA from 1 species